rfam:Triticum aestivum genome assembly, contig: Triticum_aestivum_CS42_TGACv1_scaffold_288624_4AL
AGAGUACUCCCUUCGUUCGAAAUUACUUGUCGCAGAAAUGGAUGUAUCUAGACAUAUUUUAGUUCUAGAUACAUCCAUUUCUGAGACAAGUAAUUCUGAACGAAGGGACUAGAUA